UACGUAGGUGACCAGCGUUGUCCGGAUUUACUGGGCGUAAAGGGCGCGUAGGCGGGAAGCUAAGUCCGCUGUCAAAGCCCGGGGCUCAACCCCGGAAGGUCGGUGGAGACUGGUUUUCUUGAAGCUGCCAGGGGGAGAUGGAAUUACCGGUGUAGCGGUGAAAUGCGUAGAUAUCGGUAGGAACACCAGUGGCGAAGGCGGUCUCCUGGAGCAGACUUGACGCUGAGGCGCGAAGGCUGGGGGAGCGAACGGG
rnacentral:rRNA from 1 species